UUGGGGAUUCCAGGCCUGAGAUAUUUACACAGGAGCGAUGGUUUGAGUGGAUCACAUCAUAGGUGUACUUUUUGAUUUUAUUGAUCUUUUUUUCUAGAGACGUCACCCGCUUUAACUAAAUUCGACACUUUGCAAGUAACUUAUCGUGCCACGCCCACCAGAACGCUUGGCGAAGGAAUACCUAUACAUUGUUAAACGCAGUAUCGUAAAUUUAAAUAUUUACACAUGGGGGGGGGGGGGGGGCAGUCAAGGUUAACUUUAAAGUUGUCUGAAAUCUCAUGGCAAACAAAGAAAAAAAAAAAGAAAAAAAAAAAGGUCAGAGAAAUGUUAAAUCGGGAGGUGUUUCUUAUGUUCAGUAGUCGGUUUCCUUUCUAUGUACAGCAGUGGGAACAUCGCUCGGCUUUUUCCGUCAAGUUGAGAAGUGCAUUGAAAGUUCAUUACAUGACAUUGUGUUUUUUAUCGGGUCGCGGGUGGUAUUUAGAAAGAAAGCAUUACAUCCAUUACAAAAAUGAAAACAGAACUAAAUGAAAUCGGGAGUGAUGUUUGCCAGCCAUUUUAAAGACGAAGUGUUUUCUGUUCAAGUAAUGAGUUGAGUGAAAUAAAGAACCUCCAGACAUCUGUGUACAUGAACAAAUGAAGGAUUAAAUGUUUGCACUCGCGCAUGCGAGCUGAUCCGAAAUUGCGUGUUCGAGUUUUCUUUCAUGAAUAUUUUAGGUUUUGUUGAAUGGAUGCAUCAAUUAAAACAUGAAUUAAGGGAAAAAGAACUUUCUAGUGGGUUGGGGUGGGGCUGUAUUAUACAUCAAUGGGGUUUCGAUCUUGUUUGUAAACUUCGCCAGAUUUGAAUUAUUAUGUACAUGUGUGGUUUUUUGUUUGUUUGUUUUUGGUUUUUGGUUUUUUUGGAACAACUUGAAUUCCCCUGAACGAUAUCUAUGGAUUUAAUGUUUCUGCCUUUGUUAUGACUACGUACAAAUUGUAAUGAUAGCUAUUUUCUCGUGGGUGUGUAGUAUUUGUAAACAAUGUGCGCAUGAAUAUAUUAUGUUUAAUUUAAUGACUGGAAAUUCUCCGAUAAAUUAUGAGUGAAACAUAAUACAGAUGUGACGAUUAGAGCCUCGGAAGUUAGGUGAAUCUCGGUCUGUCGCUAUUUCUCACUGUUACGUGGAUCAUUUGGUAGAGCACCUCGCUAGAGAGUUAGGUGUCCAGGGCUCGAAUCCGGUCUGAUCCGUCACCAGAAAUUUAGGGCCUCGGGGGAGGGGGGGGGUUAGAAUCUCGGUCUGAUCCGUUACUAGACAGGGAGGCCCGGGGGUCGAAUCUCGGUCUGGUCCGUCACUCACUCAAAGUCAAUAAAAGCGUGCAAUUGAUGUCGCCGGCACUUUAUUAGAAAAUAAGCUAUACCAAAUCAUAUAUUUUGUGUGCUAUACAUUCAUGGACCCAUAGCCUCCCUAGGCAUGGUAUACUUUUUAUUUCCCCUUUACUUAUAAACUUGGUAGGAAGCGUAGAUACCCUAAUUUUGUAACGUACGUGACUGUCGCCGACUCAAUUUUUAAAAUUGAACAAGCAAAUAUAAAAAUCUGAGAGCGUGUUUUUAAAUUUUCUUUGCGUUAAUAUCAUUUGUAUUUCCUAAAUUUUCAUUCAAUAAAAGUUUAACAACUUUUGCGUGUGAUUUUAAGUAGUGGUGUAUAUAUUACUCCAUGUCGCCAGAUUAUAUUAUGUGAUCAUAGGGUCAAUUAAACACCCAAUGUAUGGACAAAGAUUUCGUAUUAUCUUUAUGUUUUUGAUCUAUUUUGGCGCUAAAAUAUUCAAAAACUGUGUGAAAAUAUUCAUCAAGCGAUAUUUGGAUGUGGCAUUGAGAAGAAGUCAUCAUAUUCUCAAAAUUUUGAAUUCUGAUUUUAGAAAUGUAACAUACGAUACACUAAUUUUUUUUUAUGAAAACGUAUUUGCAGAGCAAAUGUUACCCCUUUUAUGAAAAUCUCGUAGUGUACAGAGAAUGAAAAUAUAAACAUUUCUUUUGCAGAAGUCAUUGGUUGGUCUGAAAUUUGACAAACGUGUCAAGAUGUAACAUUCGUGAUGUAACAUUCGUUACCGAGAAAUUAAUUAAAGGGAAUGAUAGAACAAUUUCCAACGUAUUUUUGCUCUCUCUCUGCAUGAUGUGGUAUACGACAUGAACGUCUACUAUGAACAUUUGAGUUUGAAAGUCAAUACGUGUUAAACUUUGAGAAUUAGGAUUAAUUUUCUCUUACGGUAAGUACUGUUACAACAACUGCAAUGUUUGAUAUACAAUAUUGAUUAAGCAAAUGAAAUGUUUUGGUCUGAAUUUGUUCUUCUGAUAUCAAAGAAUGUAUAUCGUAUUCCAAAUAUCUCGAAAUUCUUCUGGUGUAAGAAUUACAUUGAGUAGAAUGCUGGUAACAUACGUUACUCAAAGUAACGUAUGCUACUUAAUGAAAUGCUUGAUUAGACAUCAAAUAUUGAACUACAUAUUGACAAAAUAUCAUCAUUAACGAUAUGUUUGUUGAAUAUCAACUAUGUUAUGAAGAAACAAAUGUGUUAUUGUUCCCGUAUUCACUAGCAUAUACAGAUAUCCUCUGCAAGAAAUACAGGCCAUGUUUUCCUCUGCUCCUGUCCUAUUUAUGAUACAUGUAACUAUGCAACUCUACAUUUAUCAAUUUGCUAGAAUUCAGCAUCUUUUCAUAAUAUAUCUUAGAAAUGAAGGGACUAAUCUCUGAUGAUUGUUCUAUGCAAUCUUAUAGAGAAAUCAUUCAAAAAUAUUUUAUCUGAGUGUAACAUAUGUUACCACAAAUUCCGUUACGUAAUAAUAUUCUACUUGUUUUUAAUUUUUUAUUUAUUUUUUUUUUCAGAAAUGGCGCUUGUGAGAGUAGAAGUACAAAAUAACUACCAUGAAAAAAAAUGUAUUAAAACAUAAGAACAACCAUGAAAAAAUGUUUUAGAAAUAAUAUUAUAUGCUCCCCUUGUGGCAAUACUGAAAAGGUAGAAUGUCUGUAUAGACAGUGAAAAUAAAGGUUUAACUACCGGUCAAAGGCUACCAUAAUGAUACAUGUAAGUUUUGUCUCUCAAAAUACUUAUAAGCAACUGGUCAUUUGAGUAAUUUUGUAUGACCUUUGACCUUGUGACUUGGAAUCCAAUGGGGGUCAUCUAUUCAUAAGGGGCACCAGUGUUUCAAGUUUGAUGUCUACCAAGGAAAGACUUCUCAACGGACAAUAGCGUAUGUCCAGAGUAGUUUAACCGUUGUCCUUUUGACCUCAAAAUUAAUAGGGGACAUCGUUAAAUAUUCAUUCAUAACACCGCGUGGUGGAUUAUACUGACAGUUUCUAUGGAAAGGUAUUCCAAAAUAAGCAACAAAAACAUAAGAUUCGGUAUACGUUUAAUUAAAAUGUUGGGAAAUUAAACAUUUUCUUUAUAUUAUUAUUGUAAACAGAUUGUUAGAAAUGGGUACAUAUGAUUCUUUCCAUUUUUUGAAUAGAAAUGAUGUGUUUAUAGUAAUGAAAGGAAAAAUAAGAAACAUACGUUACUUUCAUUGUUUAUUAUAACAAAGAGCAAUCCAGGUUUCAAAACAUGUGUCUGUUAUUUCUAUAAGAAUCAUGAGCAUUUAAAUAGCGAAACAUCAAUCUAUCACUUUUGUUUUAAUCGCACAUUUAUUGCAAAUUAACAAAUUCAGAAGAAAAGACACAUUUGGUAAAAAAAUUUCCUUGUCUACGUUAUAUUUCUAUUAAAAUUGGUAUUUCCAUUGAAUUAAGUGAUGUUAUGAUUUUGCAACAUCAAUCGUAAAGAAUAACUGAUGGUGGCAUCGUUUUGGCACAAUAUUUUCAUGGAUGUACUGUUGUGUAAGUGUUGAAACAUACGUUACAUAAUUAUAGCGCUACUUCAUUUACAUACAAAAAAGCUAUUGUUCUAUAUCUAUUGCUAGUCUUUUGUUUUCAUGUUUCAUACAUAUUGAACUGUUCGAGAAUAUUUGUUAAUCAAUUUUAUUUUUUGCCAUUUCAAAGAUAUUGAAAGUGAUAUCUAGUCGUUUAUUUUGCGCUCUUAAAAUCUUAUUGCUGAAUUUUACAUCAGAUAAUUUCUUGUUGUGUUGAUUAAAUAUUUUCUUUGAAAA